rnacentral:rRNA from 1 species
AGUGAACGCUGGCGGUAGGCCUAACACAUGCAAGUCGAACGGCAGCACAGUAAGAGCUUGCUCUUACGGGUGGCGAGUGGCGGACGGGUGAGGAAUACAUCGGAAUCUACUUUUUCGUGGGGGAUAACGUAGGGAAACUUACGCUAAUACCGCAUACGACCUACGGGUGAAAGCAGGGGAUCUUCGGACCUUGCGCGAUUGAAUGAGCCGAUGUCGGAUUAGCUAGUUGGCGGGGUAAAGGCCCACCAAGGCGACGAUCCGUAGCUGGUCUGAGAGGAUGAUCAGCCACCCGGGAACUGAGACACGGUCCAGCCUCCUACGGGAGGCAGCAGUGGGGAAUAUUGGACAAUGGGCGCAAGCCUGAUCCAGCCAUACCGCGUGGGUGAAAAAGGCCUUCGGGUUGUAAGGCCCUUUUGUUGGGAAAGAAAAGCAGCAGGUUAAUACCCCGCUGUUCUGACGGUACCCAAAGAAUAAGCACCGGCUAACUUCGUG